rnacentral:lncRNA from 1 species
AAAUAUUAUAGAGUAAUUACUAACUAAAAUCUAUCACAAUUGGAUGAAGAUAUUAAGUAUAUAUCUAUAUUUAACAAACGAGAGGUACCUUAUGGUAAUAGUUUUGUAGCAAUGUAGUCUUAUUUUUUGUUCAUUAGAGACUCCACAUUAGUUCCCACGGGACAAGCUAGAAAAAAACAGAGAAAUUCUCAUAAAAAUUAAAAACAUCAAACACCAAUCCUGUAAACUCUAAUAAUCAUAGCCAUUGAUCUAUUAUAUUUUCUAAAAAGUUACCCACCACUAUUAUUGUGAAAAUAUUCAAAAAUAAGCUCUAAACCUAUAUCUAAAUUAUCGAGCUCAGCUAUUAUAAAACAUAAUCUAAAAGUAACCCCAUAAUCUUCAUCCAAUUUACUAAUACACAUCAUUAUAAAGCAUAACUUAAAAUGUCAUUCUAAAUUUUAUAUAUAUUACCCCACUAUGUCGUUAUUAAAAAUAACCUAAAGUAAAC